rnacentral:rRNA from 1 species
UACCAAGGCGAUGACGGCUAGCCGGUCUGAGAGGACGAUCGGCCACACUGGGACUGAGACACUGCCCAGACUCCUACGGGAGGCUGCAGUCGAGAAUCUUCCGCAAUGGGCGCAAGCCUGACGGAGCGACACCGCGUGCAGGAUGAAGGCCUUCGGGUUGUAAACUGCUGUCACGCUAUAGGAAUGGUCUGGGGUUAACAGCUCCAGGCUUGACCAAAGCGAGAGGAAGCACCGGCUAACUCCGUGCCAGCAGCCGCGGUAAGACGGAGGGUGCGAACGUUGUUCGGAAUCACUGGGCAUAAAGAGCACGUAGGCGGUGCACUAAGUCAGGCGUGAAAUCCCCCGGCUCAACCGGGGAACUGCGCCUGAUACUGGUGUGCUCGAGGACGGUAGGGGUGAGCGGAACUCCAGGUGGAGCGGUGAAAUGCGUAGAUAUCUGGAGGAACACCGGUGGCGAAAGCGGCUCACUGGACCGUCUCUGACGCUGAGGUGCGAAAGCCAGGGUAGCAAACGGGAUUAGAUANCCCGGUAGUCCCGGCCGUAAACGAUGGGCACUAGGCAAGGGGGUUACCUAUGGACCUCCUUGCCGGAGCAAAUGUAUUAAGUGCCCCGCCUGGGGAGUACGCUCGCAAGGGUGAAACUCAAAGGAAUUGACGGGGGCUCACACAANCGGUGGAGCAUGUGGUUCAAUUCGAAGCAACGCGAAGAACCUUACCUGGCCUUGACAUGCACGGAUUAGCCCUGUGAAAGCAGGGUGACAGCUCUUCGGAGUCGGAACGUGUGCAGGUGUUGCAUGGCUGUCGUCAGCUCGUGUCGUGAGAUGUUGGGUUAAGUCCCGUAACGAGCGAAACCCCUAUUCCUAGUUGCCAGCGGGUCAAGCCGGGGACUCUAGGGAGACUGCCGUUGUCAAGACGGAGGAAGGUGGGGACGACGUCAAGUCAUCAUGGCCCUCAUGGCCAGGGCUACACACGUGCUACAAUGGUCUGUACAAAGGGUUCCGAAACCGCGAGGUGGAGGCAAUCCCCAAAGCAGGCCCCAGUUCGGAUUGCAGGCUGAAAUUCGCCUGCAUGAAGCCGGAAUCGCUAGUAAUCGCGUAUCAGCCAUGACGCGGUGAAUAUGUUCCUGAGCCUUGUACACACCGCCCGUCAAGCCACGAAAACGGGGAGUGCUCGAAGUCGCUCNUGUCCAACCCUCGGGGGG